AUUUAUAUAGUUUAAUUUAAAACAUUACAUUUUCAUUGUAAAAAUAAAAAAAAUUUUUUUUAUAAAUAAAUUA
rnacentral:tRNA from 1 species